CCUUCGGGAGGAGGCCGGUGGGGCGCGCGAGGAGCCAUCGCGGACUUAAUAAGGGCGGCUGCGCUGCUGCGCGUGCGCCCGGCGGCGCGGGGCGGGGAGGCGUCCCGGAGGAGCGCGCGGGCCGCCGCCCCCGCCCCUGCCCGCUCCGGCCGGGAAGCCCCUGGUUGGGCCGCGGGCGGACGGUGGCACAGGUGCCCGCUCCGCGCGCGGGGACGCGAGCUUCCCCGGAGGCCCGCUCUUCGGAGCCGGACCCGGGGCCUGUGCGGCGGCCUGGGGCGGGCAGGGCGCGCCCCUGGGCUGUUGGCGUCUUAGAAUAGGGUUUCUCCAGAUCCUGCAGCUAGCAAGCACCACCCCGUCAACACUCUCCCGACAGGACAUCACUUCUGCAAAACCUUCUGCAAAACCUUCCAAACAUGCAUAUACAGAACCCUUGGUUUGUAGUGGGACCCAUCUCUGUCCAGGAGAAGACUGUAUUUCCUCACUUCCCUGUAGCUUGAUGUGGUCAUGUGACCAACGUCUGUCAAAUAGGAAAUAAACAGAAGCCGUGCAAGGAACUUACAGGAAAUCCUUAAAGAGAAGGGGCUAUUCUCCCUCUCUCCUUCCUCUGGCACAACAUGAAUGUGAUGGCCGGAGCUUGAAUAGCCAUCUUGAACUAUGAAGUGGAAGCCACGUGCUAAGGAUGACAGAGCAAAAAGAAGCAGCCUGGUUUCCUGGCACCGUGGACAGGCAUAUCAGCCCAGGAGAGACUACCGCCAGAUUUUUACAUGUGAGAGAAAGUAAUCUGCUAUUUUGCUCUACUGAUGGAAAAGAGAAGACGGAGAACUCACACCUGCCCAUUAUGGUUCUGGACUGAAAGAGUCAUGUGUCCUUCCCCCCAGAGUCCUCGGGCCAGAACUGUUUCUGUAGCCCCAUCCCAGCUGCAGGGGAACACAGGCAAGACUCCAGCCUCCAUGACCUCCCCUGAGUUCCAAAGGGCAGAUUAUGGAACAGUUGCUAAUCAGGGGGGAGCGGCCAAGAAACCACCUGAGGCGAGACUGAAGGGACCAGAGAAGCUCGUCAAGACGAGGAGACCACCUGAGAUGAGGUGAAGGGAGCGCACGCCCUGCACACUCCCCACCCUGAGUCAUGGUUAUAAAGACCCUCAUCAAAUCCUCUGGGGCGAGGACACACAGUUUUUCGAGGCAGAAGCCGGUGUGGCCCCCUUUGCCUGGCAAAGUAAUAAAGCUGUCCUUUUCUACU